GCCUUCGUAGUUAAGUGGUAUAACUCCGUUCUUGUAAAACGGCGUGGGAAGUUCGAUUCUUUCCGAGGGCA